rnacentral:lncRNA from 1 species
AAAAUGUGCUCAUCUUCUCCAUGGUGAACGAAAAUAGCAAGGGGGAAGCCAUAGUUAGGGUUUUCAAGCUUCCAAGCUCCAUAGUAAGUGAUUCCAAGCCCCGUUUUAAAUGUUUUUUUACGUUUUUGGAGUCCCGAUAACUUGAUUUAGCUUAUUCUAGCAAUAAUUUAACCUAGGGUUUAUAUUUGGAAAAAUACUCAUAGGUGAAAUGUGUUUAUUUUUAUGUUUUAUGGUAGAAUAUGAAGCUUGAAAUUAUGUUAAACAACUUUUGCUAAGCGAUUUUAAGUGAAAACGAGUAAAACGACAUAAUCGGUAAAAAUACCUAAUGUUCAUAAGUGUUAGAGUAAGAAUUUGAUGUUGUCAUAGAAGGGAAAAAUGUUCAGCAUGUUAUAAAGCAUAAGAAAAAGAGAUGAAGUUAAAUUUCCAAGCUUUGGGGCAAAAGUAUAAUUAUGCAAAAGUUUAGGGGCAAAAUCAUAAUUUUUCCAAAGUUCGAGUCAAUGAUUGUUUUGAUGAAUGUGAGUAUUAAAUAAGCUAAAUUUGCUAUUAUAGAUCAAGAAGAACGAAAUUCGGAGUUAGACUGGGGGAAGAAAAAGAUAGAGGAGUAAGUUGCUAGAUUUGGUCAAAUUUUGUACCGAGGUAAGUUUACGGUAAAUAAAUGCAAUAUUUCAAUAAUUAUUAUUAAUACUGCUAUUUCCCAGCAAUUAUGUAUUUAUUUCAUGAAAUUAUUUAAUGUUGACUCAAGUAUGAGAUGACAAAGAAUCAGUGAUAAAAGCCCCGUUGAAACAUUAGGAGUGUAUUGGAUACAAAUGUCAUGACAUUUGGGUAAAGAGAUCCCAUAUAAGACCAUGUCUGGGACAUGGCAUUGGAAUCCUUGAGAUCAUGAGAGGUCCCAUGUAAGACCAUGUCUGGGACAUGGUGUUGGCACCGAGACGAGAGGUCCCAUGUAAGACCAUGUCUGGGACAUGGCGUAGGCACCGAGAUGAGAGGUCUCCCGUAAGACCAUGUCUGGGACAUGGCAUGGGCAUCGAUAUGAGAACUCCCAUGUAAGACCACAUCUGGGAUAUGGCAUUGGCAGUACAAAAAACAUCCCAUGUAAGACCAUGUCUGGGACAUGGCUUUGGCAUGUUAUUAUCAGAUAUGAGACCCAAGUAUCAUUUAUAUUCUAAUGUGGCUCAACGGGCUAGAAAAUAGAUUAUGUUCUAUGAAAGUUCAAGUAAAAGUAUAAUUAGCAACUUCAGGUGAGUUAUAAGAGUUAAGAAUAUGUUAUGAUAUCAGUGAGAACCAAUAUUUCAGCAAGAGAAGAGUAAGUUGUAAUCUUAAGCUAUCUAAAUAGGUAAGUAAAUAAACAAGUAAAUGAGAGUAAGUAAAGAGGAAACUUAAGAACAUGAUACUUGCAUAUCAUUAUUUGUGUUAAAUGUUGUUAUUUAUUUCCUUGUAAACUUACUAAGCUCUAUGCUUACUUCGUUUAUUUAUUUUUCUUUCAUAUAGUAUUAUCAAGCAUAGUCGGGAUCUUGAAGACGUCGGAGAGCGUUCACACUAUCAACCACCACAACUCGAUAUUUUAAGACGAUAAAUGUUUCGAGCUAUGGCAUGUAUAGGGACUUAGUCAUUUCGAUUGUUUAUUCUUAAAUUAUGACCAAAAGAUGUUAUGUAAAUAUUUGAUGAUGAAUAGUUAUUAAAAUGGCUAAGUAUGAAGGUGUUUGUUGUUAUAAAGUCUAGGUGAUAAAUUAUGCAUAGAAAUCAUGAAAAAGUAAAAAUUGGCAGUGAAUCAGUUUUGAGACAGCAGUAGUGACGUGAUUUUGAAAAAUCAUCAAGGAUAGUA